GCGGGACCGGACGCCUGGCUCUGGGCAAGGGCAGCUUGAAGUGCGGGGGUCCGUGCACAGACAGCUCAGCCCCCAUGGAACAGAAGAAGCCUCAACACCACCUCCUCUCCUCCAGCCCCAGCUUUAAGAUUCCCCGGCUGCUACUCCUCUUCCCAGACUGACUGGUCUUGUGGCUCAACUCCCUACCCGGGGCCUGUGUCAUGCCCAAGAGGAAGCUGAAGGUCCGUCGCAGGGAGGAGCCUGCCCAGGUACCUGAGACCCCUUCCAGUUGGCUACAGCUGCAGAGAGAAAAAGAAGAGGUGAAGAGAUGAAGAUGGACACGGGAACGAAAAACAAGAUACUCCCAGAGAGAUGGUGGGUGAAGGUGCCAUGACCAGCAGAGAGAGAAACAAGGGAGAAACUGAGAGAAAAGGGUGAGGAAGAAAGAGGAAGGGCCGGGAGAGAGGCACUGCCACCCCACCUCCUAGGACUUCCUGGAUGUGGACACUGCCGGGUCCCAGGCCCUUCUAUUUAUGAGGAAAACGCCGGGCUCCUCCCCGGUAAAUACAGACUCCCC